rnacentral:rRNA from 1 species
AGUGAACGCUGGCGGUAUGCCUAACACAUGCAAGUCGAACGGCAGCAUGGUAUAGGCUUCCUGUUUCGGGUGGCGAGGCGCGGGGGGGUGUGGUAUACCUCAGCAUCUACUUUUUCGGGGGGUAUCACGUAGGGAGACUAACGCUUAUAGCGUACACCAUGAAGGGGUGAAAGCAGGAGCGCUUGGCACCUUGCUCUAUUGAAUGCGCCGAUGUCGGAUUAGCUAGUUGGCGGGGUAAAGGCCCACCAAGGCGACGAUCCGUAGCUGGUCUGAGAGGAUGAUCAGCCACACUGGGACUGAGACACGGUCCAGACUCCUACGGGAGGCAGCAGUGGGGAAUAUUGGACAAUGGGCGCAAGCCUGAUCCAGCCAUGCCGCGUGUGUGAAGAAGGCCUUCGGGUUGUAAAGCACUUUUGUUCGGAAAGAAAAGGAGCAGGUUAAUACCUCGGGGUGAUGACGGUACCGGAAGAAUAAGCACCGGCUAACUACGUG